GGAUAACGUUUGGAAACGAACGCUAAUACCGCAUGAUAUUAUCGAGCUGCAUGGCUUGAUAAUCAAAGGAGCAAUCCGCUGAAAGAUGGGCUCGCGUCCGAUUAGGUAGUUGGCGGGGCAACGGCCCACCAAGCCGACGAUCGGUAGCCGGACUGAGAGGUUGAACGGCCACAUUGGGACUGAGACACGGCCCAGACUCCUACGGGAGGCAGCAGUGAGGGAUAUUGGUCAAUGGGGGAAACCCUGAACCAGCAACGCCGCGUGAGGGAAGACGGUUUUCGGAUUGUAAACCUCUGUCCUCUGUGAAGAUAAUGACGGUAGCAGAGGAGGAAGCUCCGGCUAACUACGUGCCAGCAGCCGCGGUAAUACGUAGGGAGCAAGCGUUGUCCGGAUUUACUGGGUGUAAAGGGUGCGUAGGCGGCUUUGCAAGUCAGAAGUGAAAUCCAUGGGCUUAACCCAUGAACUGCUUUUGAAACUGCAGAGCUUGAGUGGAGUAGAGGUAGGCGGAAUUCCCGGUGUGGCGGUGAAAUGCGUAGAGAUCGGGAGGAACACCAGUGGCGAAGGCGGCCUGCUGGGCUCUAACUGACGCUGAGGCACGAAAGCGUGGGUAGCAAACAGGAUUAGAUACCCUGGUAGUCCACGCUGUAAACGAUGAUUACUAGGUGUGGGUGGACUGACCCCAUCCGUGCCGGAG
rnacentral:rRNA from 1 species